rnacentral:rRNA from 1 species
GUGGGGAAUAUUGGACAAUGGGGGCAACCCUGAUCCAGCCAUGCCGCGUGAGUGAUGAAGGUCUUAGGAUUGUAAAGCUCUUUCGGCGGGGAAGAUGAUGACGGUACCCGCAGAAGAAGCCCCGGCUAACUUCGUGCCAGCAGCCGCGGUAAUACGAAGGGGGCUAGCGUUGUUCGGAAUUACUGGGCGUAAAGGGCGUGUAGGCGGCUUGCAAAGUCGGGCGUGAAAGCCCCGGGCUCAACCCGGGAAUUGCGUUCGAUACUGGCGAGCUAGAGUUCGGGAGAGGGUCGUGGAAUUCCCAGUGUAGAGGUGAAAUUCGUAGAUAUUGGGAAGAACACCAGUGGCGAAGGCGGCGACCUGGACCGAUACUGACGCUAAGGCGCGAAAGCGUGGGGAGCAAACAGGAUUAGAAACCCGAGUAGUCC